rnacentral:misc_RNA from 1 species
AACGCACCUUGCACUCCUUGGUAUUCCGAGGAGUAUGUCUGUUUGAGUGUCAUGAACUCAUCAACUGUGUAACUUUAUUGUCGCACAGCUUGGUUUCUGACGGUUGCUAUUCGUAGCUCCGUCGUAAUACAUUAGCCGCCCUAGUUGAUCUCGGAUUGACUCAGUGUAAUAGACUAUUCGCUGAGGACGAGAUUGUAGGCCGGCUGCCAAUCAUGCUAGUCAUCUUUGAAAUUAGACCUCAAAUCAGAUAGGAUUACCCGCUGAACUUAA